UACGUAGGGGGCUAGCGUUGUCCGGAAUCAUUGGGCGUAAAGAGCGCGUAGGCGGCCAGAUAAGUCCGGUGUGAAAGUCAAAGGCUCAAUCUUUGAAUGCCGCUGGAAACUGUCUGGCUAGAGUCCGGGAGGGGCGAGUGGAAUUCCUGGUGUAGCGGUGAAAUGCGCAGAUAUCAGGAGGAACACCAAUGGCGAAGGCGGCUUCCUGGACCGACACUGACGCUGAGGCGCGAAAGCUAGGGGAGCAAACGGG
rnacentral:rRNA from 1 species